rnacentral:rRNA from 1 species
GACGAACGCUGGCGGCGUGCCUAAUACAUGCAAGUCGAACGCAUUUUCUUUCACCGUAGCUUGCUACACCGAAAGAAAAUGAGUGGCGAACGGGUGAGUAACACGUGGGUAACCUGCCCAUCAGCGGGGGAUAACACUUGGAAACAGGUGCUAAUACCGCAUAAUUCCAUUUACCGCAUGGUAGAUGGGUGAAAGGCGCUUUUGCGUCACUGAUGGAUGGACCCGCGGUGCAUUAGCUAGUUGGUGGGGUAACGGCCUACCAAGGCUGCGAUGCAUAGCCGACCUGAGAGGGUGAUCGGCCACACUGGGACUGAGACACGGCCCAGACUCCUACGGGAGGCAGCAGUAGGGAAUCUUCGGCAAUGGACGAAAGUCUAACCGGGCAACGCCGCGUGAGUGAAGAAGGUUUUCGGAUCGUAAAACUCUGUUGUUAGAGAAGAACAAGGAUGAGAGUGGAAAGUUCAUCCCUUGACGGUAUCUAACCAGAAAGCCACGGCUAACUACGUG